GACGAACGCUGGCGGCGUGCCUAAUACAUGCAAGUCGAGCGAAGCUGCGGAUGGGUGAGUCACCCGUGGGUAACCUGCUCUUCAUUCUGGGCUACCAUUUGGAAACAGAUGCUAAUACCGGAUACUAUAGGCUGGAUCUGCGAUGCAUUAGCUAGUUGGUAAGGUAACGGCUUACCAAGGCGAUGAUGCAGAGCCGGGUUGAGGGACUGAGCGGCCACAUUGGGACUGAGAAACGGCCCAAAGUCCUAGGGGAGGCAGCAGUAGGGAAUCGUCCACAAUGGACGAAAGGCUGAUGGAGCAACGCCGCGUGGGUGAAGAAGGUUUUCGGAUCGUAAAGCUCUGUUGUUGGUGAAGCGGUAAGCGACCAGAAAGUCACGGCUAACUACGUGCCAGCAGCCGCGGUAAUAC
rnacentral:rRNA from 1 species